rnacentral:rRNA from 1 species
GUAGCUAUGUUCGGAAGAGAUAACCGCUGAAAGCAUCUAAGCGGGAAACUCGCCUUAAGAUGAGACUUCCCCGGGGACUUGAUCCCCUUGAAGGGUCGUUCGAGACCAGGACGUUGAUAGGUCGGGUGUGUAAGCGCAGUAAUGCGUUCAGCUAACCGAUACUAAUUGCCCGUACGGCUUGAUCCUAUAACA